rnacentral:rRNA from 1 species
CUACGUGCCAGCAGCCGCGGUAAUGCGUAGGGCGCGAGCGUUGUCCGGAAUUAUUGGGCGUAAAGAGCUUGUAGGCGGUUUGUCGCGUCUGCUGUGAAAGGCCGGGGCUUAACUCCGUGUAUUGCAGUGGGUACGGGCAGACUAGAGUGCAGUAGGGGAGACUGGAAUUCCUGGUGUAGCGGUGGAAUGCGCAGAUAUCAGGAGGAACACCGAUGGCGAAGGCAGGUCUCUGGGCUGUAACUGACGCUGAGAAGCGAAAGCAUGGGGAGCGAACAGGAUUAGAUACCCUGGUAGUCCAUGCCGUAAACGUUGGGCACUAGGUGUGGGGAACAUUCCACGUUUUCCGCGCCGUAGCUAACGCAUUAAGUGCCCCGCCUGGGGAGUACGGCCGCAAGGCUAAAACUCAAAGAAAUUGACGGGGGCCCGCACAAGCGGCGGAGCAUGCGGAUUAAUUCGAUGCAACGCGAAGAACCUUACCAAGGCUUGACAU